UACGGGGGGAGCAAGCGUUGUUCGGAUUUACUGGGCGUAAAGGGCGCGUAGGUGGCCAACUAAGUCAGACGUGAAAUCCCUCGGCUUAACCGGGGAACUGCAUCUGAUACUGGAUGGCUUGAGUUUGGGAGAGGGAUGCGGAAUUCCAGGUGUAGCGGUGAAAUGCGUAGAUAUCUGGAGGAACACCGGUGGCGAAGGCGGCAUCCUGGACCAACACUGACACUGAUGAGCGAAAGCCAGGGGAGCAAACGGG
rnacentral:rRNA from 1 species